rnacentral:lncRNA from 1 species
GGAUCCUUUCAGGGGAGGUCUGCUUUAGCAUUCAUGACUUCCAUAAGCGUCCUAGCAACCCACUGGGUCAGUCCUUAAAAUUUACACCUGACUUUAAUUUUACUAUCCCUUUACAGUUUUCUACGAUCAAAAAGCAAUGUAUGUCUGUACGGUCAGCAGUAAGAGGUUUUUGUUGUUGUUGUUUUGUUUUUUAAACAUCUGAGUGUUUGUGUGUGUGUGUGAGUUUAAUAUCAUGUGCCCCAGACCCACUCAUCUUCCUGUCCCUUCAUAUCCACCACACACACACACACACACACACACACACACACACACACACACACACACACAAAACAAACAAAGAAGGAAAAUAAAGAACGCAAAACAUAGAAUCCGUCUCAUGGAGGAAGCGCUGCUAUGUAGGUGGUAUGUGUCCCACAGGAUUCUCCUCUGACCACACAUCUUCAAUGCAAUGAGCUAUUGAGCUGGAUCCAGGUCUCUGGACCCUGCGACACCAUCCAUAUUGGAUCCUUACCAGGACUCCUCCUGGUAAUCCUGUUUUUGCCCAGUGACCUGAAGCUUUGAUACAGCAGGACUGGCCCUUUCAGCAUCCUAACAGUUCACAGAUAAUGUAGAUUUUGGGUUGGACCAACUCGAAGCCCUGCAGCUGUGUCUGGGUGAUUGCUGAGCUGGUCAGCCCACUGCUCUCCCUUAUCCAUACCAUCAGGGCAAUCUCCUCAAGUACUUCUCUGGUUAGGCCACCCAGUGCUGUCACUGGCAGGAGGCAGGGUCUCCUCUCCUGCCCUCAUGCCCUUAGGGCAACUUACCUGCACCCAUAACUUCAGAGCUAGCUCCACUGUGCUUCCCAGUUGAGGUGCAGGGCCCAGAAGUCAUUGAGGGCUGGGACAGCUGUCUUGCUCUCACACCAUCGGGCCAUCUACCCUACACCCUAAUCACUAGUGCCCGCUCUACUAUGCUUGCCAGGCAAGGCAGGGGGAGUGGUGCCACUCUCCCAAGUUCUUCAGCCAGCAAGGGACAGAACUUGCUUUUCCAGCUCACUUGCUCUAGUGACCCCGUCGAGUCAGCUCUCCCCACUACCUCAAGGUGGCAAGGGGUGAUGGGGCAGAGGCCAUCAUACCCCUGCUUAGGCCACACAGGAGAUGAGUGGUGGGGUUACUCCCCCUAGUGCUUCAGCCAGGGAGGGGUCAGAGGCAGCUCUCUGCUCUCAAGACCUCUGCCCACCUCCCCCCACCUGGUGCUGUGGCAAGCUGCUGCAGGUGGUGAAGGGUGAGUUGGGGUAGGGCAUCACCCCAGUGGCCAUGCCACCUCAUGGCCUCAUGGCAGAUGUGUGGGUGGUGGUGGUCAGCUUUGCCAUAAUCAGCCUCUGGACCUGUUAACCAGGCAACAUGUAGGGCCAACUCUAAAGGUCUCUCCUAACUGCUGCUGCUCAUGGGCAAGAGGAGGAACCAACUCUCCAGAGCCAGUUAGGGGCAAGGACAGUUCUGCACAGGCCCUUGGACAUCCAUAUGGUGCUAGGGAGGCUGCUGCCCAGACCCAGGACCUUCCCAUGUGCCACACCCACUCCAGUGGAGCCUCUGUGACAAGUCCAAAAGCUGAUUUUUUUAUCCCAGGUGUAAACACUGAUUUUUAUCCCAGUUGUAAACACUGCCUGGUUUCUGCUUGCUUUUAUGUACAUUUUUCUGUUUUGUGUAAAUAGUCAUUAUGCAUUGGAUAACCUUAAUGUAUCACCUAACUUCCUUGUUUUCUUCUGUAAUAUAAGUCUGAUGCUCGCAUUGAGAAAUUACAUUCAGAUCCAGC